ACACCUACAGGUAGGAGAGAUACCAUGAUUAAGAAAGUGGUUAUCCCCAAGGAAGGCUUAUCCAUUGCACUCCAGAUGUGCAAUUUCCCCAGAUGUGGAAACUCAACUGCAUAAUUUGUGAUCAUGGGAGACUACAUGCAAGCUCUUCCCUA
rnacentral:snRNA from 12 species